GCCCCAGAAAGCUUCAUGGUCACGCCACGUAUGGGAUGCUCGGCAGCUGCCCUGGCUGGGAUCUAACAACAGGAAGCCAGCGGACCUCACGGGGCCAUUCCCAGGCUUAGAUUGAAGGGAAUCUAAGUUCGGGAAAACAAUUGGUACAGGAUGUGCAGCUUGAAGAAGCUGAGGGGAUGAGUAUACUAAAUAUGCCACACUGUCUGCACCAUGCCAGAUUUGCUAUCUGCAAUUGCACAUCUGCCAGUGACCUCUGUCUGUUACUGAAGAAGGCUGCUGGCUUCUUUGCUGUAUAUCCUGAUCACGCUGACUUCCUUCUGCA
rnacentral:lncRNA from 1 species